rnacentral:rRNA from 1 species
AACGAACGCUGGCGGCAUGCCUAACACAUGCAAGUCGAACGAUGCCUUCGGGCAUAGUGGCGCACGGGUGCGUAACGCGUGGGAAUCUGCCCGUGGCUUCGGAAUAACAGUUAGAAAUGACUGCUAAUACCGGAUGAUGUCCCCCUGAGAGAUCUUGGGGACAAAAGAUUUAUCGGCCAGGGAUGAGCCAGCGUAGGAUUAGGUAGUUGGUGGGGUAAAGGCCUACCAAGCCGACGAUCCUUAGCUGGUCUGAGAGGAUGAUCAGCCACACUGGGACUGAGACACGGCCCAGACUCCUACGGGAGGCAGCAGUGGGGAAUAUUGGACAAUGGGGGGAACCCUGAUCCAGCAAUGCCUCGUGAGUGAUGAAGGCCUUAGGGUUGUAAAGCUCUUUUACCAGGGAUGAUAAUGACAGUACCUGGAGAAUAAGCUCCGGCUAACUCCGUG